CACGUAGGGGGCAAGCGUUGUCCGGAUUUAUUGGGCGUAAAGAGCUCGUAGGUGGUUCGGUAAGUCGGGUGUGAAACCUCCAGGCUCAACCUGGAGACGCCACCCGAUACUGCUGUGACUGGAGUCCGGUAGGGGAGCGUGGAAUUCCUGGUGUAGCGGUGAAAUGCGCAGAUAUCAGGAGGAACACCGGUGGCGAAGGCGGAUCUCUGGGCCGAUACUGACGCUGAGGAGCGAAAGCGUGGGGAGCGAACAGG
rnacentral:rRNA from 1 species